AGACUGAUACAAUCUUAUGGAUGUACUCCAGUAGAUAAAUCCACUUGAUUGUCUUGUCCUCCAUGUAGGCCUUCCAGUACACCUCCUCAAGGUUCAUCGAAUCGACUCCGAGGAUCGAGUCGAUACCGUGAAUGAACUGGCGGUUUCUUACUUCCUCAUUGCAGCUUACAUCGAAAUUCAACUGGCGCAAGUACUGUGAAUGGCCAGACAGUAUGAUCUGGCUAGCUAUCUCAUUUAGGCCAUGGAGGGAUUCAUGUCUGAUAAGGCUGAAGCUGUCAUAAUCGAACAUGGGCAUCGCAUUUUCGAAGAAUUGGUGGUCUAGAUUUUCUGGAUCAAGCCCAUUGUCGGUCAUGGUUUGCGAGUCGGUGAGGAAGGAAGAAGAUGUGACGCUGCUGCGGUCAUCAUGGUGCCAAGGAGGAAUGAAGCUGAACCAAGGAAAUUGGAGGGCGUGAAGGAGCGGACGGGAGUAUGCAUACGUGAUGCGGAAGCACAAACUGGAUUACAUACAGGCUAGGGGUGGGGCCAUGGAGAUUAGCAUGUGAUUUGAUCUGAUGGAUCAAAAUAACAGGCCCGCCGAAUUAAAUGAAAACUGAAGGCUAGAUGUUUUACUUUAUUCUUACAAUUUAUAGCAAUUUCUUUAAUAUAUUAGAGUGCCACGAGGCGUUAUAGGAGUAUUUGUAGGAGUACCACGUGGCGGCUUAAGAGCGUUUGUAGGAUGUUUAAUGGACUUUUAUAGUAUAUAAUAGAUAAAGAUUUGGCA